rnacentral:rRNA from 1 species
AUUGGGCCCGACGUCGCAUGCUCCCGGCCGCCAUGGCGGCCGCGGGAAUUCGAUUAGAGUUUGAUCAUGGCUCAGAACGAACGCUGGCGGCAUGCCUAACACAUGCAAGUCGAACGAGAUCUUCGGGUCUAGUGGCGCACGGGUGCGUAACGCGUGGGAAUCUGCCCUCAGGUUCGGAAUAACCAUUGGAAACGAUGGCUAAUACCGGAUGAUGACGUUAAGUCCAAAGAUUUAUCGCCUGAGGAUGAGCCCGCGUAGGAUUAGCUAGUUGGUGUGGUAAGGGCGCACCAAGGCGACGAUCCUUAGCUGGUCUGAGAGGAUGAUCAGCCACACUGGGACUGAGACACGGCCCAGACUCCUACGGGAGGCAGCAGUGGGGAAUAUUGGACAAUGGGCGCAAGCCUGAUCCAGCAAUGCCGCGUGAGUGAUGAAGGCCUUAGGGUUGUAAAGCUCUUUUACCCGGGAUGAUAAUGACAGUACCGGGAGAAUAAGCUCCGGCUAACUCCGUGCCAGCAGCCGCGGUAAUACGAAUCACUAGUGAAUUCGCGGCCGCCUGCAGGUCGACCAUAUGGGAGAGCUCCCAACGCG